GACGAACGCUGGCGGCGUGCUUAACACAUGCAAGUCGAACGGUAAGGCCCUUCGGGGUACACGAGUGGCGAACGGGUGAGUAACACGUGGGUGAUCUGCCCUGCACUUCGGGAUAAGCCUGGGAAACUGGGUCUAAUACCGGAUAGAACCACUGCCUGCAUGGGUGGUGGUGGAAAGCUUUUGCGGUGUGGGAUGGGCCCGCGGCCUAUCAGCUUGUUGGUGGGGUGAUGGCCUACCAAGGCGACGACGGGUAGCCGGCCUGAGAGGGUGACCGGCCACACGGGGACUGAGAUACGGCCCAGACUCCUACGGGAGGCAGCAGUGGGGAAUAUUGCACAAUGGGCGCAAGCCUGAUGCAGCGACGCCGCGUGAGGGAUGACGGCCUUCGGGUUGUAAACCUCUUUCAGCACCGACGAAGCGCAAGUGACGGUAGGUGCAGAAGAAGGACCGGCCAGCUACGUGCCAGCCGCCGCCGUAA
rnacentral:rRNA from 1 species